CAGUCCCUGCUCCCAAGAGCUUAGAAUUUGAAAGACAUGGAACCAGAUGAAGGGUGGAGAAAACACAGCGAUGGUCAAGGUGCUGAUUGGCACCCGGCUUCUACUUUCUGACCUAUCAAGCAGGUACUCAGCUCCUUGUUCCCCACACCUUCCCCUCUGGCCUCAGCUCCUGCAGAAAAUGAAAGCCUACCCGACUUCUGAUUGGAGCUGAGCAGCAAAAAGCGGGUUUCUUGGUUCCCAUAAAAAGAUGAAUAACUCUGGCCGGCUCUGGUCCUGGCGACGUCUCUCAGCCUCUGUGUUGCGUCCUGACGCAAAGUGAUCAGAGAUCAUCGUUCUCCAUCUUGGAAGGCCGGUCUCCGGACAGAGGGGAGAACUGCUCGCUGCAGUGGGGAGCAAGCACUGGCUGCUGUCUGAGGUCAUGUCUGAAUAAAGGA